rnacentral:rRNA from 1 species
GAUGAACGCUAGCGAUAGGCUUAACACAUGCAAGUCGAGGGGCAGCAUGGUCUUAGCUUGCUAAGACUGAUGGCGACCGGCGCACGGGUGCGUAACGCGUAUGCAACUUGCCUCACAGAGGGGGAUAACCCGUCGAAAGACGGACUAAUACCGCGUACACUUGGGAUAGGGCAUCCUGACCCAAGGAAAUGAAAUUCGCUGUGAGAUAGGCAUGCGUCCCAUUAGCUAGUUGGUGAGGUAACGGCUCACCAAGGCGACGAUGGGUAGGGGAACUGAGAGGUUGAACCCCCACGCGGGAACGAGGACACGGACCGGACUCCGACGGGGGGCAGAAGUGGGGAAAAUUGGGAAAUGGGCGAGAGCCUAAACCAGCCAAGUCGCGGGAAGGAUUACUGUCUUAUGGAUUGUAAACUUUUUUUAUACGGGAAUAACAAGAGCCACGUGGGGCCCCCUGCAUGUACCGUAUGAAGAAGCAGCGGCUAACUCCGU